ACCACUGCUGGUUUCAUGACAGCCUAAGCACAGAGAUGUUUGCCGACAUGAUGAGCAAAUACAGGCCUGCCGGAUUAUUAUACCGGAUUAUCAAAAUCUUGAAGUCAUUUUUAAUAGAGCCUCAGAGUCUCUCGUUCUGUAGAACAAAAAAAAGGAAUGUAAUUAGACACUGGGCUGAUUUUAAACAUAGAGUGUGUUCUCAGAGUCGCUUGAUAGAUUCACAAUACUGUGGCACACUCAUCAGAGAAAUUCCAAAAUGGCUCUGCACAAACACAAUGGAAAGAAGCACAAGGUGUUGUGGUCCAGCUACACAAUUGAAGUGUACUGAAUAUUUGCCCCAAAUUAGAGUCAGAGGAAAGAUGGGCAGCCAGGCAUGAGAUGAGAUGAGAGCAGGUGUAUUAUGUUUAUGUCUUUUUGUUAAGUCAAGUCAUUAAUUUUCUUCUGUUCCAGACACGUUUUUUUCCCCUCUACCUGACACGUUUUGACAGUGUAACUUCCGUCUCGGAUGUAACACCGUUGAAACAUGUCAGGUAUAAAGAGGGAAAAAAGCUUGUAUGUGUGAAACAGAAGAAAAAUAAUGAGGAGAUGAGGGUGGUCACGGUUGUGAAGCGUCCUGUAACUAGGGACUGGGACUGCCUUAACAGUGGCCUGCCAUUAGAGUGAAACAGCAGUACUACCAGAGAGAGUAGAUAAGAGAGAGGUUCCUUUGGCCCAUUGUUUCCGGGUUCUAUUAUUGGGGGGGAAAUCCCCCUUUAGGCAGACCUAGGCAGACCUGAGGACUGUUCUAUUCAAUGCUAGGAGCAUUAUGACACGCCCCUUUAGGCAGACCGGAACCUGGUCACGUUAGGUGCCCAUAGAAACCUAUUAUGUUGGCAUAUCUCUAUAUACUUAAAGAAUCUCUGGUACUACUGUAUGCCCAUGGGCCUGUCCAGCUGCAUAGUGUCAAGGAAUUAUAAGGGUGGUGUGUGUGUCUGCGUGUGUGUGUGUUGAGAGAGAGAGAGAGCAGGUGUGUGUGUAUGUGUAUAUGUUGUGUGCGAGUGCGUGCGAGAAAGUGUCAGAGAAUGUAAGUGUAGUCUAUUUAUUAGCCUGAAACACUCACAAAAAGCCAAGGGCCAAAAAAAAGAAAAUGAUAAUAAUAAAAAAACAAGAGCCAUGGUAACCUUGCUCCAGUUGCCUUAGGGGGAAAAAUGAAUCCUGUGUGUGUGUGUGUUGUCAUACCUGACUGAGAAUAACAUUGUUAUUAUAUUACAUUUGUGGUGUUGAAGUACGUAUGUAGAGAUUAUUUAUUAGUACUGUUUAUUUAUAUACACUAUAGAACCUCACAUGGGAAUUACUGUUACUGUGAAUCUACAUCACUGAAGUAAUGGACCCGCCACUUGGGGGUUGUAUCGUCAACUUUUCUGUGCCAAUUGCUUAGUCGACAAUGGUUAUUAUUAUGACUGAACCUGGCAAGAUGGGGGCGCUAAGAUGUUUGGGAAGUAGAAUUGAGGAGUUAGUCACGGAUUACGAAAAUAAAAGCCCUGCUGUGUUUUCCUUCUAGCAACAACGUUGGGGGGUAUUCCAAGAACCUCAAUAGUAAGCCAGUUGAAGUUAACCUUGAGGUAGUGGUAAAUCAUCUAAUAGAAGAGUCUGGAGUGCUGAUUUUCUGAACUAAAUGACACCUGUGUGCUAUCUAUUAGUAUGUUUACCACUUCCUGUAGGUUCAUUUAGCCAGGUUUAUUGCUCAGUUUCUGGCAAUACCCCCAGGGUCGCUGCAAUACUUGGCCCAACACGAUGGGGUCAUCCCUAUGUUCCCCAGGUCCUAUGUUCCCCGGGUCCUAUGUUCCCCUCUACCGAGGAACAUGGGGCCCUUUUUUCAAAAAAAUGUUCUAUGUUCCCCGCUGCAUCCAAGUAGACUGCUGCCGCAUGGCAAAACCCAGGUUGUUGUUGGACCUCUGACAGGUUAGGUUUAGGGCUAGUUUUGUUCAGGGCACAAAUUUACAACUCAGAAACAUUGCAUUUCUGACAGGUUAGGUUUAGGGAUGGUUUUGGGAAGGGCACAAUUUGAAAACUUAGAAACAUACAAUGCGGGGAACAUAGAACCCUUUUU